GGAGAAAAUAUUGGAGCACAAGACUGAUAGCCUUGGUUUAAUCAACCUUUCCUGAUUCUUGAGAUAUGAGAAAAUCCUCCAGGUGUAGACAGGGUUGGAGAGGUUAGUUAUAAGAGAAGAAAGAAAAUCCUGCCAGUUUCGAAAGUCUCAGGCUAUGUUCCAAAAUGCUAUAAUGUACAACUGCUCUCCAUGUGCCCCUUUAAUUGGAGCCCAAAGAUCAUGCCACCUACUUUUCUACAGUCAUGCUUAACAGAGGGAGUUCCCCAGAAGCCAAGAGAAGAUAGCCAGAGAUCUUGGACUGAGCCUGCAAUUGUUCAAGUUUGGUUCUACCUACUAGAUGAUGCUGCAUUUAAAAUACAGCAAACUUGGGAUUGGAGCAACCACUAUCUGAAUUUCCCACCAAUGGCCUUUGUAGACGAGGCUCCCAUAUUUGUGGUUGUCUCUUUUCUCCGUCCUCCACCCCCAUUUGCUACCUAUUUACUGGUUGAUUUUGUUUAUUUCUGCCAUGAACAUGAGUGAAGCAAUAUCAUUUGAAAAGCCCCAAUCUAGCACACAGGAAGCUUGUACCCACAUCUGGCCCUGGCAUUAGCUAACCUGUGACCUUGGACAAGUAAUGCACCAUCUCCAGUCUCAUUGUCCUUGCUGUAAAACGAGGGCAUAUCUGUAAUGCCCUUUUCAUUAUAAAACUAUAUAGAAUAAAAAGAAGUAUGAUUCCUCUUCUAUGAUGCUGCAAGAUAAGUGAGGCUAGGCAUAAAUUAUAACAAUGUUUUCAGCAAUCAGAAGAAGUCGUUGUUUUGUCCUUAAAAAAAAUUAAAACUAGCAUGCUGUAUCUUAUCUAGACUCAAACUUA